rnacentral:rRNA from 1 species
UUCUGGCUCAGGAUGAACGCUAGCUACAGGCUUAACACAUGCAAGUCGAGGGGCAGCAUUGGAGUAGCAAUACUUCAGAUGGCGACCGGCGCACGGGUGAGUAACACGUAUCCAACCUGCCGCUUACUCGGGGAUAGCCUUUCGAAAGAAAGAUUAAUACCCGAUGGUAUAAAGAGUUCGCAUGUUCUCUUUAUUAAAGAAUUUCGGUAAGCGAUGGGAUGCGUUCCAUUAGAUAGUUGGCGGGGUAACGGCCCACCAAGUCUACGAUGGAUAGGGGUUCUGAGAGGAAGGUCCCCCACAUUGGAACUGAGACACGGUCCAAACUCCUACGGGAGGCAGCAGUGAGGAAUAUUGGUCAAUGGACGAGAGUCUGAACCAGCCAAGUAGCGUGAAGGAUGACUGCCCUAUGGGUUGUAAACUUCUUUUAUAAGGGAAUAAAGUGAGGGACGUGUCCCUUUUUGUAUGUACCUUAUGAAUAAGGAUCGGCUAACUCCGUGCCAGCAGCCGC